rnacentral:rRNA from 1 species
CGAAGGAUCCAAGCGUUAUCCGGAUUUAUUGGGUUUAAAGGGUGCGUAGGUGGACUAUUAAGUCAGUGGUGAAAGCUUCCCGCUUAACGGGAAAAUUGCCAUUGAUACUGAUGGUCUUGAGUGCAUUUGAAGUGGGCGGAAUGUGUCGUGUAGUGGUGAAAUACUUAGAUAUGACACAGAACACCGAUUGCGAAGGCAGCUCACUAAACUGUAACUGACACUGAGGCACGAAAGCGUGGGGAUCAAACAGGAUUAGAUACCCUGGUAGUCCACGCCCUAAACGAUGAUUACUCGAUGUGUGCGAUACACUGCACGCGUCUGAGCGAAAGCAUUAAGUAAUCCACCUGGGGAGUACGGCCGCAAGGCUG